rnacentral:lncRNA from 1 species
GGAAGAUCUGCAGCCAGCCCUGAAGCUGCAGCAGGAGGGCUCUGAAUCCUGUGGUGCCCUAAGCAGUGGUUAGAGAAUUGAGAAGGCUGGGGAAGUGCAGGAAUCCAAAUCACAAUGUCUAGAGAGAACCUCCCAGUGACUUUGUCUGGCUGGAGGAUUAAAGAGCCAUAGUCUGAAAAGCACAGGAGUAAGUUAGAAGACAGACAGAACAGAAUUCAUACCGUCUUGCUCUAUGAAUCAACAUGAACUGUCAAGAAAUAGUGAAAUCACU